CGAAAGCCUGAUGGAGCAACGCCGCGUGAGUGAAGUAAGGUUUUCGGAUCGUAAAGCUCUGUUGUUGGUGAAGAAGGAUAGAGGUAGUAACUCGGCCCCUUAUUUGACGGUAAUCAACCAGAAAGUCACGGCUAACUACGUGCC
rnacentral:rRNA from 1 species